rnacentral:rRNA from 1 species
CCUACGGGAGACAGCAGUGGGGAAUAUUGGACAAUGGGGGGAACCCUGAUCCAGCGACGCCGCGUGAGUGAAGAAGUAUUUCGGUAUGUAAAGCUCUAUCAGCAGGGAAGAAAGAAAUGACGGUACCUGACUAAGAAGCCCCGGCUAACUACGUGCCAGCAGCCGCGGUAAUACGUAGGGGGCAAGCGUUAUCCGGAUUUACUGGGUGUAAAGGGAGCGUAGACGGCGAUGCAAGUCUGAAGUGAAAGGCGGGGGCUCAACCCCCGGACUGCUUUGGAAACUGUAUGGCUGGAGUGCAGGAGAGGUAAGUGGAAUUCCUAGUGUAGCGGUGAAAUGCGUAGAUAUUAGGAGGAACACCAGUGGCGAAGGCGGCUUACUGGACUGUAACUGACGUUGAGGCUCGAAAGCGUGGGGAGCAAACAGGAUUAGAUACCCGGGUAGUC